UACGUAGGUGGCUAGCGUUGUCCGGAUUUACUGGGCGUAAAGCGCGCGCAGGCGGUCGUCCAAGUCGAGUGUGAAAGCCCCCGGCUCAACUGGGGAGGGUCAUUCGAUACUGAUCGACUCGAAGGCAGGAGAGGGUAGUGGAAUUCCCGGUGUAGUGGUGAAAUGCGUAGAUAUCGGGAGGAACACCAGUGGCGAAGGCGAACUACCUGGCCUGUUCUUGACGCUGAGCGCGAAAGCUAGGGGAGCAAACGGGG
rnacentral:rRNA from 1 species